rnacentral:rRNA from 1 species
AUUGAACGCUGGCGGCAGGCCUAACACAUGCAAGUCGAGCGGAUGAAGGGAGCUUGCUCCUGGAUUCAGCGGCGGACGGGUGAGUAAUGCCUAGGAAUCUGCCUGGUAGUGGGGGAUAACGUCCGGAAACGGGCGCUAAUACCGCAUACGUCCUGAGGGAGAAAGUGGGGGAUCUUCGGACCUCACGCUAUCAGAUGAGCCUAGGUCGGAUUAGCUAGUUGGUGGGGUAAAGGCCUACCAAGGCGACGAUCCGUAACUGGUCUGAGAGGAUGAUCAGUCACACUGGAACUGAGACACGGUCCAGACUCCUACGGGAGGCAGCAGUGGGGAAUAUUGGACAAAGGGCGAAAGCCUGAUCCAGCCAUGCCGCGUGUGUGAAGAAGGUCUUCGGAUUGUAAAGCACUUUAAGUUGGGAGGAAGAGCAGUAAGUUAAUACCUUGCUGUUUUGACGUUACCAACAGAAUAAGCACCGGCUAACUUCGUG